AUUCAGAUGCAUCGAACUCACAGAACAUCGCUCCCCAGCUGCUGGCUCGCGGUUCUGAGAGUGCCUGAAUAGAAAACCACUCAUUUCCCUUCGCAAAAGAGGCGCCCAAAGCAGAUAUUUCAAUAUAUUCCAAUUUAGCCGAGGGAAGCCAGAACAUGGAUGUUGUUGCCAAGGAAACCACCUCCUUCCUCCUGUGUGCUGUGCAUACGUGUAUCACUUCAUCUCUCUGCUCUCCAAGCUUGAAUCUAGAUCUGACGUGGAUAUCCUGCCACAGUUCCGAAGUCUACCUAGUGCCCCAGCCGAACCUGCCCUGGCUCCUAGGUGGGGUAUGGACAUCUGUGACAUCCCUCCCCAACACCCCACCAAGCUGGGCUGCAAGACGGGUUAUGGUGGCCCCAUGACUUCCUUCCUUGGGCAAUGACAUGCACGCCCACCUGGUUCUCAUGAAA
rnacentral:lncRNA from 1 species